UACGUAGGCAGCAAGCGUUGUUCGGAGUUACUGGGCGUAAAGGGUGUGUAGGCGGUCUUCUAAGUUUGGUGUGAAAUCUCCCGGCUCAACUGGGAGGGUGCGCCGAAAACUUGGGAGGCUAGAGUGCGGGAUGGGAGAGUGGAAUUCCUGGUGUAGCGGUGAAAUGCGUAGAUAGUCAGGAGGAACACCUGUGGUGUAGACGGCUCUCUGGACCGCAACUGGACGCUGAGACACGAAAGUCGUGGGUAGCAAACAGGA
rnacentral:rRNA from 1 species